GACGAACGCUGGCGGCAUGCCUACACAUGCAAGUCGAGCGAGCAGAUCCCUUCGGGGUGAAGCUAGCGGCGGACGGGUGAGUAACACGUGGGCAACCUGCCUCAUAGAGGGGAAUAGCCUUCCGAAAGGAAGAUUAAUACCGCAUAAGAUUGUAGCUUCGCAUGAAGCAGCAAUUAAAGGAGCAAUCCGCUAUGAGAUGGGCCCGCGGCGCAUUAGCUAGUUGGUGAGGUAACGGCUCACCAAGGCGACGAUGCGUAGCCGACCUGAGAGGGUGAUCGGCCACAUGGGGACUGAGACACGGCCCAGACUCCUACGGGAGGCAGCAGUGGGGAAUAUUGCACAAUGGGGGAAACCCUGAUGCAGCAAUGCCGCGUGAGUGAUGACGGCCUUCGGGUUGUAAAGCUCUGUCUUCGGGGACGAUAAUGACGGUACCCGAGGAGGAAGCCACGACUAACUACGUGCCAGCCGCCGCAGUAAAAC
rnacentral:rRNA from 1 species